AUAUAUAUAGUGACUGCCUCUAAUCUAUAAAUAUUGAAGGAUGUUAAUCUUUUUGGUCACAUAUUUAUAUUGUUGCUUUUUUUAUUUGAUAUUAGAGUAUAUGAUCUAUGUAAUCUCUACUUUUUAAAUGUACAGCUUUCAAGCAAAUGUAUGAUUUUUUCAUAAAUGGACAUAAGAUUGAUUAUAUAUAUAUGUACGUGUGUGUGCAGAGAUUAUAUAUAUACAUACAUGCAUAUAUUCGUGUAUACAUUUGCAUAUUAUAAUUUAUCUACUGUUAUUCACUUUCUCACCUUCCUUGCCUGAUUUUGACCUUUAAUCUUGAAAUAAUUUUAUUAACUAUAUACUAUAGUUUGCUUUUUCUCACCUCUCCUUACAUUUUCAAUAUAAUUUCUUUCCAAAUAUUUAGGAUGUAUAUUGUGUUAUAAUUGCUAUAUCAACAUGAAUUGUGCCUAUUAUGAUUGUAAAAGUCCCUCUUUACACUGCUUUUUACUUUUGAGCUUAUAUCUAAGAUUUUCUGAUGAAAUAUUGACAUUUUUGCCUUUCUUAAUUUUGCAUUUGCCUGGUAUCUCUUGGCUUUUCCCUUUAUUUUCAACCGUUCUUUAUCACUUGGUCUGAAGCAAGUUUCUUGUAACAGCACAUUGCUCGAUUUUGUUUUUUUAACCUAAUUUGACAGCUUUUGUCUUUUUAUAGAAUAUUCAGUAAGAGGAUUCAGUUUUCAGAAUGAACUAGAGCACAGAAGGGGGACUGCCUCUGCAUAUUUAAGUAGAUUGUAUUCCAAAGAUAUGAACAUUGUUGAGGCAGGAGAACUAACUAGCUUCUUACAUAGAAAGGUGUUUCUAUAGGGAAUGCUCCACAGAAUUCCAAUUAAUUGUUUCACAGAUUAAGAGAGUCACCAGGGUUCCCUUGUAACAUUUCUCAUCAAAGAGUGUUCUAUAGGGAAGAGAUAAAACCUAAACAGUCCCGGAAGCUGAGACAAGAAACUGAAAAAAAAAGGAAAGUGAGCAACAAGAUAAUGUAAGUCACAACUGAGCCAAUUAAGGAGCAGGAGAUGCAGCAGCAUGUCCCAAACAAAACUGAUUGGAGGUCAAGUGUGGACAACCAGAGCAAGUUCUUGCACAGCUAAUGUAUCCCCAGGUGUGAACUGAGUAACAUGAAGAAAGGCAUCCUCCUGCCACCUCCUGGCAUGAUUUUAGGCGUUUUGCAUGAACUCUAAUUCAUUGAAAUGUAACAACCUUAUAAGGUCCCUGCAGGACCAUGUCACCCAAAAUAAUGCAUCAGAUAUAAGGACUUGUCUUUUACUCAUUUACUUCUUGGACCUACUUAGAAAACUGUGGCAGCACUGUUUUGUUAUUAUUGUCUUAAGUGCAUGAUCCAACUUGGAAAGGUUCCAGGUGUGUCUUAGUUUUGAAGCUUCACAGCAGCUGAGUAGUAGUGUGUGGUGAGCAUAACAAAUACCUAAAACUUUCAGGAAGGUGAAUCCUUCUCUCUGACCGUGGGAACUAUGGUCUGAAGAUGAAUGCCAAUCGCAAGAUAAUUCAAAUAUUGAAAUUAUGAAACAAUGACUUCCAAAUCAGCUAUGAUAAUGUGAUCUACAAGCUAAGGUCUAAUAUCCUCAAAACAAAUGGAAAGACAGAACAUCUUAGCAGGGAAAUAAAAGAUUCAACUGGCUCAUGGUUUGUACCGGGGGAACCAAGCCCAUGGUUGGGAUCCAGGGGUCCCUCCAGUCUCCUGUUCCAUGGUCGCACACACCUUGAGGGCACCCACACGGUUUGAUCGUCUCCUUAUAUUGCUGCUGGCAGACUCGUGACGGGGUUUCUCAUUCAUCUGGGUGUACAAGAAGCAUGGUGCCAGCAUCUGCUCAGCUUCUGAUGAGGGCUCUGGGAAGCUUUUACUCAUGGAGGAAGGCAAGGGGAACCAGCAUGUCACAUGAUGAGAAAGGAAGCAUGAGAGAGAGGUGCCAGACUCUUCAACAACCAGAAGAGAAAGUCAGAGAGAAUCAAAGCAUGUGAAGAGAGACCUCACGCAAGGAGGUCUAGGAGCCUAGAGUGAUCUUCAGCCAACAGUCAAAAAGAUAACUGGGACAACCACAAGGAACUGACUUCUAUAAGAGAAAUGAGCCUGGAAAAGGACUCCAAGCUUCAGAUGAAAAUGUAGUUGGCUGACACUUUGAUUUUAGUCUUGUGAAACCCUAAGCAGAGAAUCCAAGUAAGUCCCCCUGAACUUCUCACCUAAAGAACAAUGAGUUAAUAAAUAAGGGGUAUGAUAAGUCAUGAAAUAUGUGGUAAUUUAUUACAAAACAAUAUAUAAUGAUACAGAUACCUAUCUGGUAGCCAGAUAUUAUCCUAAGUAUUUUCCACAAGACAUUUAAUUUGAUUUAAUUAACACGCAACUCCAUAAGAGACAGAUCCUUUUAACUAUUUUGCAGGUGGUAAACUGAGGCUCAAGUAAUUUAUGUGAUUUGUCUAAGGUCCCAUAGGCUAUAAGUGUCAGAGCCCAGAUUGAGAAGUGUUUGGCUGUUCAUGCAAGUGCAAGCAGCUUUCAUUAAACUAUUCGCAGAAGUCUGUCAGAAUAGCUAGCAAGGAUACCAACUAUCUAGGGAAAGUCACACCAAAGGAGUGACCCAAAGAAACACAUUUUAACCUGAACUGCCUGGUAAUACACUGAAGGCAAAUCAGCCCCAAAGACUAAAAUUGUUAAUUUUCUGUGAUUCCUCGCUGUUUUAUUUAAUAUAAUAUGACCUUAACCUAGUCUUGAUAUUUGAUUUCUGAACAAUGAGUCAAGAGAGUUGCCUUCUCUAUGUAGUAGUACUUUACUGUUGUCAAAGACUUGUCCUUUGGUGCUUCAUAUUUUGCUUUACCUACAUGGAACAUUGCUAAUUUAGGUGAUAGCCUAACUAUUUAUAGUUAAAUACACCCACCAAGUUCCCUUUACCCUUCAAAUUAACUAAAAAGAAACAACUUCCUACUUCUUACACCACAUAAAAUUCAUAUUUUGCUUUAAAUGUAAUUUUUCAGCAAAGAGCCUAGUGGAGUUCACUUAAAACUAACCAAAUCAGCUGUUAAAAUUGUCCAUUUGAUCACAUGGGUUAUAGGCAUAGUUAUUUGACUGAGUUAUGACAAUGCUCAGAAACAGAAAAGACAGUCAAAGGUUAUCAUGUAAGUUCAAUAAAAAUUCAACAGUUGUUUUUAAAGAUUUUCAUAUGAUAAUAUUGUUUCACUUUCUAUUACCCAUAUUUGAUUUCAUUUACAAAUAAAAUACUACCCACUCUAUGAAUCAUGCUUUUAUCUCAAAUAUAUCUAGAGUGAAUCUCUAUGAUUUUUAGAAUACAGAAAUAUACAUUUUAAAAAGAUUUUAACAUUUAUUGUAAAUAAUUUAAGACAACUUUUAGAUAUAUCACGUGAGUGUUUAACUCAAUUUUCAUGACCCAGCUGGCCCAAAUUAGUCUUUUUUAUAAAUUGUUUUUUGAGUUGAAAUUAUUCUUUCACACCUAAAGAACUCUAUCUGAUGCUCUAGAGAGAAAUAUUCAAUUGAACUUCACAAUGUAGAACAUUUCCUGCAUUCUCCAUUGUAGACUGUGAUGAAUAAAUCAAUAUGUGCUUACUAAAAACAAAUGAUACAAUUUAAGGAAAUAUAUUAUUUUGAGUCCUGAUUCAAAGAAAAUAACCAAAUAUUUAAAAUUUAUUUAAAAUUUGUACUGUUUAUUUAUAUAAUUAUAACAUCUUCAAAAUCAAUAAUGAUUUUCUUCAUUUAGUAUUUAAACAUAACUAUUUUCUCAUAGUACUAGAGUCGCCAUAAGCAUCACUCUAUGGCUAUAUAAUUUCUGACAUGUGCUUUUAUUGGAAUUCAUUAAUAAUUUCAUUAUUUUUAGGUAUUUAGAUCAUGGCCCACUUUCCCCUACAACCACGAUACCUGUUUAAAUUGACAAAUCAUAGUUGUAUGGAUUUACGGGGCAAAAUGUGAUGUUUUGAUAUACGUAUAUGAUACAGUUUGAUUAAAUCAAGCUGCUUUAACAUAUCCAUCAUCCUGCUUACCUAUCAUUUUUAAUAAUGAGAUAUUUGAAAUGUAUUCUCUUAGUUAUUUUCAAAUACAUAAUACAUUAUUAUUGACUGUAGUCAUCCUGGUGUGCAAUGAAUCUCAAGAUGAAUAUUUCCAUGAACAUUAAAAAAAAUUCUUCCAUUUUGAAAUGUCACUUUUCAUUAAUUGUGACUCUGAUACUUCUCCGCUUGACAUCUCCACUUAUGCAAUAAAAAAAUUCAUUGUACACUUUAUCUUCUAGGGACUUGACACGUGCAAGCCCUUCACUUUCAUUUUUUUCUAAGCCAGCUUUCUCCAUCCCCUCAUAUCAAUGCCUCAGCAUCCAGUGAUUAAAUCCCAGCAUUUCUAUCACAGUUUAUCUCCAUCACAAUAUUUCCUGUUUUGCAGUAUAACUGGUGAUUAACUUUAAUUACAAUCAUGACUACUCUAUAGCAGAGGCCAAAAUGAUGAUUACACAUCAUGUUUCAUAAUAUUUUUCAGUUAGAUGAAGCUUCAGUGCAGCUACCCUGCUAAAAUAACUAAUUUGCAUAUCAUUAUAUAGAGUUCAAAUGAACUUAUUUUAUCCACUCCCACCCAUUAGUCAUCUUAUUGCAGUUUAGAAAAUAUAUUGACUCUGGACCAUGAGUCUGUAGGUGAAGGUAACAGUUAUAAUGAUGAAAAAAAAUUUUCUCAGGUCAUUCUGUAUUUUUCCUGAUUUAAUUGAUUAUAUCACUCAUAGGCCAUCAAGGCACCACUAGAAACUUUUCUAUUAAACAUAGUACUGGAAGUUCCAGCCAGGGCAAUCAGUCAAGAGAAAGAAAUAAAGGGUAUUCAAAUAGG
rnacentral:lncRNA from 1 species